CCUUCGGGGCAGGAAGACAGGUGGUGCAUGGUUGUCGUCAGCUCGUGUCGUGAGAUGUUGGGUUAAGUCCCGCAACGAGCGCAACCCUUAUCAUUAGUUGCUACCAUUAAGUUGAGCACUCUAGUGAGACUGCCACGGUUAACGUGGAGGAAGGUGGGGAUGACGUCAAAUCAUCAUGCCCCUUAUGUCUAGGGCUACACACGUGCUACAAUGGUGAGUACAAAGAGAUGCAAUACCGUGAGGUGGAGCCAAACUCAAAAACUCAUCCCAGUUCGGAUUGUAGGCUGAAACUCGCCUACAUGAAGCCGGAGUUGCUAGUAAUCGCGAAUCAGCAUGUCGCGGUGAAUACGUUCCCGGGCCUUG
rnacentral:rRNA from 1 species